CCUCUCUUAGACCCCUGCCCUCCCCUGUCCCCCUUCACUCCCUUAGCCCCCGGCUGUGGAUAAAGUUACCCUCUCUUCACCACACACACACACACACACACACACACACACACACACACACACACACACACACACACACACACACACACACACACUUCUUGGCAGCUCUCUCUUUGCCUGGGCAGACUCUAUAAGCCCUGAGCCCCAGCCAGGCUCCUGUUGCUGUGAAAAAUAAAUUGACACACUCCCACUAACCCCCCCCUGCCUGCUGGAGCUAAUGGGCUAACCCAGUGCUUCCUCUGUCCACCCCCGCUGCAGAGGGACAGAUGGUACAUACUGUUGGUGCUGCUCUAACUGCUCUGUCAUUGAUUCAGUAGUAACACAGUCGUCAGUCCACAGCCUGCCUGCCUGCAGAGAGAGAGCCAAAACAGGAAGAGAGAAAGAGAGGACAUAAGGAGAGAGGAAAAGAGAGUGAUUGUGAGCGAGAGAAGCAGGGAAAGCAUCCAGCCAUCUGUCUGUCUCCAGUCUGAAAGCCACAGCCGCCCUCUUUUGUUUGGCGUCCCUGAUAUGACCCUGUUUAAAAGUGAGCACCACCGCAGCCCACGAUACAUUAGCAUGAGUGGAGAGCUGAAGUCUAGCCGUUCCAAGACCGGCAGCAAGAGACCCAGCAGCAAUCCAUACGGUGGAAGAGGGUACCGAAGCUCUGAGUGGCCAAAAAGCUCUCUUUCUUGAGAUGUCCAGAUGGUCUCUAGCCAUGCAGUCCCAUCCCACACCAAACGGCCCUCCGCCUCCAGAAAGAUGAAUCUAGUCUGUGAAAAACGAAAAGAGGAAUGUCUCUGAUACAAACACACAUGUGUCACGUCCUGACCCUAGUAAGAUGUCAUUUUCUAUAGUAGAGUAGGGCAGGGCGUGACAGGGGGUGUUUUGGGUUGUUCUAUGUUUUCUAUUUCUAUGUUUAAGUUCUAGUUUGUCUAUUUCUACGUUGGGAUUGUUUUGGGGUUGAUCUCUAAUUGGAGGCAGCUGAUCCUCAUUGCCUCUGAUUAGAGAUCAUAUUUAAAUAGGGGUUUUUCUCUUCCUGUUUGUGGGUUAUUAUCUUUUAAGUAGUGUGUUUUCCUCUCUGCGUCACGGUUAACCCGGUACAGCCAGUGCCUGCUGUGAGCACUCAGCCCUUAGUGUGUCUCCCCAGUCCGGUGAGACCGAUUCCUGCUCCUCGCACUAUUCCUCCAGUGCGCAACCACAACCCGGUACAGCCAGUGCCUGCUGUGAGCAUUCGGCACUUAGUGCGUCUCCCCAGUCCGGUGAGACCGAUUCCUGCUCCUCGCACGCUCCCUCCAGUGUGCCUUCAUAGCCCAGUAUGUCCUGUGCCUGCUCCCCACACUCGCCCUGAGGUGUGUG
rnacentral:lncRNA from 8 species